rnacentral:rRNA from 1 species
CAGUAGCCGGUAAUACAGAGGGUGCGAGCGUUAAUCGGAUUUACUGGGCGUAAAGCGUGCGUAGGCGGCUUUUUAAGUCGGAUGUGAAAUCCCUGAGCUUAACUUAGGAAUUGCAUUCGAUACUGGGAAGCUAGAGUAUGGGAGAGGAUGGUAGAAUUCCAGGUGUAGCGGUGAAAUGCGUAGAGAUCUGGAGGAAUACCGAUGGCGAAGGCAGCCAUCUGGCCUAAUACUGACGCUGAGGUACGAAAGCAUGGGGAGCAAACAGGAUUAGAGACCCGCGUAGUCCCUGUCUCUUAUACAC